GUUGAGAAGAGGCGUGUUGUUAAAAUGUUGAAGUGGUUUUAUAUUAGAGUGACAUUAAUGAACGUGCACUAACCCACUAAUCGCUGCACGACGCUGGCAGGUGACUCGUCUCCAGUACCUGAACGCUCUCAUGGCGUCGCGGGUCGGUCACAGUCCAGAUCCUCCAGAGAUUAAGAUCCUGCCCAACAGUCAGACCAAGCUGCUCAACGACAGAAACUCACAGCCAGAGUUCCCCGUCAACUUUUCCUUCUUUGAUACCAUCGAGAAUUACUGUUAGUAUUUAUUCAUUUAAUGUUUGUUUGUCUGCAUGAGGUGAAAUGCAGCCGUCUGAGGCGUGACAGCAGACACACACACACACACACACACACACUCCGCUGUCCCCCUGUGUGCGUUCCUGUGUGUUCAUGUGUGUUUGGUGACGUUUUAUUUCCUCUUUCCCUGCAAUCAUCUCCCUUCUCUCCAUCAGUUAAAGGUCGUGUCUGAUCUGAUCCACAUGUUUAUAUCCAUGACCUUAAAGGCUGAGACGUGUCCCUCUGGCGUCCACACUGGAGGCUCAUGGGCACGAAGGCAGAGACGCGGCCCGAACCUGAGCUGCUAACGGUUCAAUCGGCUUGUUUUCAAUAGACACAAUUUGCUGAAAUGCAAAUAUAUAAUAUAUAUAUGUAUUUAUAUUUGAAUCACUAAACAAUAGUUUACGUCCAGUAAAGUGUAGUUCCAAAGCGUAAAGCACCAGACCUCCAAAUGAAGUCAUAAUAGUUGGUUUUAGCUUCUUUUCAUGUAUCACCAAGUAUAUUUGCAGAAAGUCAUACAGAAAAAACCUAUUUUCAUUCAAGCAUUAACCUAAUAUAUAUUUCUGAAUUCGCACCUCUUUAUGUUGUAAAAGCUUGAAGUCUUUGCUUUAAUUUAGUGGUCCGAUGUUUCGCUGAGUGCAACUCAAUGAAAAUUAGAGAAUUUCUGAAAUCUUUAUUUAAUAUAAAAACAGGUUUACGUUUCAGUCUUUAUCAAAUAAAGCGAUCCUACAGAAA